rnacentral:rRNA from 1 species
UACUAAGCGGAGGAAAAGAAACUAACAAGGAUUUCCUUAGUAGCGGCGAGCGAACAGGAAGGAGCCCAGCANUGAAUCCCGCGGUUCCGCCGCAGGGAAAUGUAGUGUUCGGGAGGGUUCAAUUAUCCCGCGGCUGCGUACCGAGUCNAAGUCUAUCUUGAAUGGGGCAAAUUACCCAUAGAGGGUGCCAGUCCCGUAGCGACCGGGACGCGCCGUGGGUGAGCCUCUCCUCA